GCAUGGCGGCCCAGCACUGCGCCGCUGCCCUCCCGCCUGGGGAAGGGGGGGGGACAAAGUUUGGCUCCCGCAGGCAGCGAGUGCGCGGGGGCUGCGGGGAGGCAGCCGGCCGGUCGCCCCCUCGCUCCCUCCCACUCUCCAUCUCUCCCUCCCUCACUCACCUGUCCGUCGCCUCCCCGGCGGUGGCUGAGGGGAAGGCGGGCGGGCGGCGGGCGCGGCCCCGCGCUCCUCUCCCGUCCUUCGGCCCCGCAGGGCGGCCGGAGCCGGCACCCCCCCGCCGGCCGAGCAGGUGGAAGCGGAGCGGAGCAACACGUUUGGGCUCUGAACUUCGCGGCUCCGGUCACAACACAAACAAACACGCAGCCGAGCGAGGACCUCUCCCAGCCGAGCCCAGCCUGCUCGGCAGCCGCUGCCUCUCUUAUUGGUGCGGAGCUUAUUUAUUUAUUUGAUUUCCCCCCCGUCGCCCCCCCCCUUUCUCUUUCCACACACACACACACACGCGCAUCCACUCCCCUCCCUCCCUCCCUCCCUCCCCGCCCAGCCAGCCCCGCUCCUCUCCUCUCCUCUCUUCUCCUCUCCUCUCCGCUCCGCGCAGCCCGGCCGCGGUGCUGUGGGGCCGGCAGCGCCCGCCCGCUGCCCGGCUGCCGGCCGGGGGACGGAGGGAGGGAGGCGGGCACGCCGCGGGGAGGCGGGCGCCGGCGAGGAGGGAGGCGGGCGGCAGCGGGGCUCGGGGAGGCCGGGAGGAGCCCCCCGGGCCUCGCCCUGCCCGCGGGGUGGCCCCGGGGGCGGUGGGGGUUAUCUAUUUAUUUAUUUAUUUAUUUAUUCUGGGGGAGGUUAUGCCCUUCCGCGGGUGCGUGCAAGGGAGGGUGCGCGGACGUGCGCCGCCGGGCUGGUGUGCAAGGAGAGCCCGGCAGCCGCAGUGCACUUGGUGCCUGUGCAGCGCUUUCGCCUUUUGCCAGGGCUUGUGUGUGUGUGUGUGACCAGCGGCGGAGCAGGCGUGAUUUCGCCUCGUACUGGCUGCUGAGCCUUUGUAUUGAUUCUCUCUCUUUUUUUUUUUUUUUUUUUUUUUUAAAAUUCCGCUACCCCCCUUUCUCCCCUCUUCCCCCCCGGUCCCCGAGCAGCCCGGCAGGUCUCGCCUCACCUGCCCGCCCCCCCAGGGCCGGGCGCCAGCCGCCGGUACCCUAAGGGAAGGGGACCGUAAGUUAGGAGCUGCGGCGGUGAGACCGCAUGAAGGAUCCCCUUCGCUGCUCCUGCAGCAUCCGUCCUAGCUCAGCUUCUCAUUGCAGCUGUCAGUGGAGGAGGAAAAAAAAAAAAACGUUUCUGUCCCACAGUGGCUGUUUUUAUCCCGCUGUACACACACGUGACAGACGGAAUAUUGACACCCUCAUCUUCUCUCCCAUCCCUCCCCCUUUGGAAAUUAAGGUUUGAAUUAGAUGUCCCAGGGGCAGAAAUGUGAAAGCCUGGAAGUUGGUGCAAACUCUUGCAGAUAUUGUGAUGUGGGUGGGUUUUUCUGUUUUGUUUGGUUUUCCUGGACAGAAUUCCCGUCCUUCUCCCC
rnacentral:lncRNA from 1 species